AGUAAUACCGUAUACGCCCUUCGGGGGAAAGAUUUAUCGGAGAAGGAUCGGCCCGCGUUAGAUUAGGUAGUUGGUGGGGUAAUGGCCUACCAAGCCUACGAUCUAUAGCUGGUUUUAGAGGAUGAUCAGCAACACUGGGACUGAGACACGGCCCAGACUCCUACGGGAGGCAGCAGUGGGGAAUCUUGGACAAUGGGCGCAAGCCUGAUCCAGCCAUGCCGCGUGUGUGAUGAAGGCCUUAGGGUCGUAAAGCACUUUCGCCAGGGAUGAUAAUGACAGUACCUAGUAAAGAAGCCCCGGCUAACUCCGUGCCAGCAGCCGCGGUAAUACGGAGGGGGCUAGCGUUGUUCGGAAUUACUGGGCGUAAAGCGUACGUAGGCGGAUCAGAAAGUAGGGGGUGAAAUCCCAGGGCUUAACCCUGGAACUGCCUCCUAAACUCCUGGUCUUGAGUUCGAGAGAGGUGAGUGGAAUUCCAAGUGUAGAGGUGAAAUUCGUAGAUAUUUGGAGGAACACCAGUGGCGAAGGCGGCUCACUGGCUCGAUACUGAC
rnacentral:rRNA from 1 species